UAACUUGUUGCAUGGAUUCAAUUGGAAAUUAGCAGGAGAUAUGAGGCCAGAAGAUAUAAGCAUGGAGGAGAUUUAUGGAUUAACUACACACCCAAAAAAGCCUAUAUCUGUGAUUAUGGAACCUAGACUUCCCUUCCAUCUUUAUUAGAACUAGCUAUAGUACUUUGUUUUGGUCUUGCCAAUAUAAGUUUUAUGCUAGCAUUAAGUUAAAAUAAAAUUCCACUUUUUGACGAAGCAACACUUCUUGUUCCAUCCUAGAAAAAUCUACUACAUGCAUAAUAAACCCUUUUUUGGCAAGAAAGCAAAAGGGGUGGGAGCUCCUAGGAAGGAUAAAAAAAAAAACCCUUUUUGCAAGCAAGGCAAAAAAAUAAUAGAGAAAAGGAAAAAAUAUUUAUUUUAUUUUCUUGAAAAAGUAAUAUUACAUAACAGGGUGUGUACAAAUCACUUUUUGAUACAUCCGUCCCAAAUCCGAUUGCUUGUCAAGGCGAGUUGAUUGUUUUAAUGGUCACUUGCUUCUUCUUUUAUUGUUUUUUUAAUUUAAAAAUGGGGAUAAGGAAAAGAAAAAUGUGAGAGAGAAUACAAAGUGAAAAAUCCUUCGUUCCAUUCGAUUUUAAAAGGAUGAGUCAUGAAAUUAGAAUAUUUAAAGAUAGUCGGAUGCUGGCUAAUAAUUAUUAAAUAAUUCUUUAAGCAAUUGAUUGUUAGGAGAGAUUUGGGAUGGGUAAUGUUAAAUGGUCAAAAAAUUUAAAAAGUCUAUAAUAUUCUUUUUAUUUUAAAUUAAACUAUUCUUUUUUUCAUUUUUUAAUUAAAAGGUAUUAAAGUUAAAAGGGUAAAAAUGUUCAAAAAGGUAAAAUAACACAGUGUGAAUUACGUUAGUUUACCAUUUUCGCCAAAUUCUAACAAAAUUUAAAAUAAAUGUUAUAACCAUAGUUUCAUUUAAUUCUAAUUCGUAGCAAACGCUUUGUCAUUCGCCUCUCUCCCCAGAAAUCUCGCUCGCCACUAUCCAGACAUCUCGUUCGCUACUCUCCCUCGCCUCUCUCACUUUAUACAAACACAAAUGUAUAAAUUGCGUUUGUGUUUGUAUAAAGUGAGAGAAAAAUGAAUAUACAAAUACAAAUACAUAUCUCUUCGUCCUAUACACUUAUAAUUAUACAAUACAAAUCUUCCCCUUCCCAGUUCUCUAUUACCUUUCUCUCUUUUUCGCUUUAUACAAACACAAAUUAUACAAAAUACAAAGUAUCUAUCUGUAUACAAAAAUACAGUUACAUAUACAUAUACAAAUUUAUAUUUAAAUACAUAUAAUACACAUAUACAUAUACGACUAAAAAUCACAACAAAAAAAAUAUACUUAUACAACUUAUAGCCAAAUCACUUUUUUUUUUGUAUAAUUUGUGUUUGUAUAAAGCGAUAGAGAGAUUUGUAUAUAUAAAUCUAUCUGUAUACAAAAAUACAGUUACAUAUACAGAUUUAUAUUUAAAUACAUAUAAUACACAUAUGCAUAUACGACUGAAAAUCACAACAAAAUACAUAUACUUAUACAACUUACAGCCAAGUCAGCUCCUUAUUUGUAUACAAAUUCCAAAUAUAUACUUAUACAAUUGGAAUGAAUACCGAAAUAUACAAAUUAAUAGGUCCAUAACAAACAUAAAAUUUGUUAUGGAGCGCAAUUAUGCAAACUAUACCUAUAACAUACAAAUAUGUUUUUUAUGUUUGCUAAACCUAAAAUUUACUCAAAAUUAUUUGGGGACACAAAACAAAUACCCCAUAAAAGCAAAAUAAUUACAACAUAUAUCCCUUUACAUUCAUACCGCACUAAAUAAUUACACUAUAUACCCCUACUAAUUUCGCUUAACCGAUACUAAAUCAGUAUCAUAUACUGUAUUGGUAUCAUUAAGUUUGAUAAUUUUGCUUAAUUAAUACUAAAUCAAUAUACUAUAUUGUAUUAGUAUCAUUAAGACUGAUAAUUUCGCUUAACUGAUACUAAAUCAGUAUAUAUAUACUGCAUUGGUAUCAUUAAAAUAUGUAUACUGUACUUGUAUCAUUAAGGUUUCUUGUUCAGAAAUUACUCAUUAGUCAAUGAUACUAUAAGAGUUUAUAUAUAUACUCUUAUAGUAUCAUUGACUAAUGAGUAAUUUCUGAACAAGAAACCUUAAUGAUACAAGUACAGUAUACAUAUACUGAUUUAGUAUCAAGUUAAGCGAAAUUAUCAGCCUUAAUGAUAUCAAUACAAUAUAUGAUACUGAUUUAGUAUCAGUUAAGCGAAAAUUACCAACGUUAAUGAAUGGGGGGUAUGGGCUUUAAUUAUUUAUGAAAAAAAUAAGUAUUUCAGGAAUUAUUUUAAAUUUGAGUAUAAACUUGUAAUUAUUUUAAAUUUUAUGACCCAUUUAUGUAGUUUCCCCAAAUUAUUUUUGGGUGCUUAUUGAACUCUUUAAUCAAUUGGCUGUAGGUAGGGGUGUACAAGUUAAACCGUAAAGUCAAACCGAAUCGACGAACCAAAUCAAAUCGAAAAAAAACCGAUUUGUGGUUUGGUUUGGUUGGUUUGAUGGUUGAAAAAAAAUACCGACCACUCUUGGUUUGGUUUGGUAUUAAAAGAAAAAACGUCAAACCGAACCCAAACUAAACCGACAUAAUAUGUAUAUAUAUAUAUAAUAUUUUAUUUAUAGAUAAAAAAUAUUAUUUAUAAUCUACUAUGUUAAUAUAUUUUUAGUUAGUUUAUAGGUUUCAAUGUUUAUAUAUUUUAUUUUAACUUUGGGUUGUAAAAUUUGUAAAUAUUUUAUUUUGUAUUUAGAUCCGAAGUUACAAUUAUAUUGUUAUAGUUUUUCAAAUUCAAAGUUAACAAUUUACUUUGUAAAUAUUUUGUUUUGUAUUCAGUUUUCAUGUAGCCUUUAAUCUUAUUAAUUUAACAUAAUGAGCGUUGAUAUUUCAAAAAAAAUAUUUUGUACUCAUGUGAAUUUUACCGUCUUUUCAAAAAUUUCUAUUCAUUUAACAUUUUUUAAGUUUAGCUUAUCACAUAUGUAAGUGAAACAACUCUUUAAUCAAUUGGCUGUAGGUAGGGGUGUACAAGUUAAACCGUAAAGUCAAACCGAAUCGACGAACCAAAUCAAAUCGAAAAAAAACCGAUUUGUGGUUUGGUUUGGUUGGUUUGAUGGUUGAAAAAAAAUACCGACCACUCUUGGUUUGGUUUGGUAUUAAAAGAAAAAACGUCAAACCGAACCCAAACUAAACCGACAUAAUAUGUAUAUAUAUAUAUAAUAUUUUAUUUAUAGAUAAAAAAUAUUAUUUAUAAUCUACUAUGUUAAUAUAUUUUUAGUUAGUUUAUAGGUUUCAAUGUUUAUAUAUUUUAUUUUAACUUUGGGUUGUAAAAUUUGUAAAUAUUUUAUUUUGUAUUUAGAUCCGAAGUUACAAUUAUAUUGUUAUAGUUUUUCAAAUUCAAAGUUAACAAUUUACUUUGUAAAUAUUUUGUUUUGUAUUCAGUUUUCAUGUAGCCUUUAAUCUUAUUAAUUUAACAUAAUGAGCGUUGAUAUUUCAAAAAAAAUAUUUUGUACUCAUGUGAAUUUUACCGUCUUUUCAAAAAUUUCUAUUCAUUUAACAUUUUUUAAGUUUAGCUUAUCACAUAUGUAAGUGAAACUAUAUUUGAUCUCUUUUUCAAACACCGUAUAGUUGUAAAACACCAAAAAAAUUGAAAAAAUGAAAAAAACCGAAAGAACCGAUUAAAGCCGAAACCGAAAAAACCAACUUUAUGUGGUUUGAUUUGGUUUUUAGAUUUAAUAAAUCGACAUAAUUGAUUUAGAUUUUUUUAAAUGAAAAAUCAAACCAAACCGAUCUAUGUACAUCCCUAGCUGUAGGAGUGAUUCAACAAGUAACUUGAUUUAGCUAAAGUUAUACUCUGGUGCUUGUCAAGGCGAGUUGAGUGCCUCAGUGGUACUCACUCAGUUUGUGGAAAUUGACCAUCAAGAAUAAUUUUAUUUUAUCUUUUAAAGUUAUCUUACUUAGGGUGUGCAUCGGUCGAUUUGGUUCGAUUUUAUGUAUUAUCAAUUUGAUUUUUCGAUUUUUGGUUUUUAAAUAUGCUAACCCAAUAACAAAUUAAUAAGAUAUUUUUAUCAAUUUUCGGUUAUCGAUUUUUGAUUGUUAUCGGUUCGAUUUACCCAAUAAGAAAAUGUCCAUAAAAUAAUAUACGCCUUCUCACUUCUCUAAAUGCUUUGAUAUAGUGAAACAAGAAAGAUAAUGAAAAAUUGCAUCCAUAAGAGCAUAUGUAGUACGAAAGCUACAAUUACAUGUCACCGCCAAAACAUAGUAUGAAAUUUCUAAUGUUAAUCAAAUUACAGACCUUUACAAACUUGCAAAAGCUAUUACCUACCAUUACAAACUAAAACUAAAAUCAAAUGGUCCAACAAGACUAAAACUAAAACUAAAAUCAAAUAGCUACAAUUGCAAAUCAUUACUUUAGUCUUUAGGUUUUGAGUCAACAGUAAAGACCAAAGUGGCCUAGUGUGAAGUGGGUAGAUUACUAAUAAUUUGAUUAGUUAUAGUGUCUAGUUAUAUAUUAAAUUAUUAAUAUUUAAUAUUUAGAAAGGGUAAAGUAGCAAAAUUAUUACCAUCUUAUUGAGUUAUUGGGUAAAAAUCGAAACUGAACCAAUAACCUAAUAACUUUUUUUUAUAAACUCAUUAAAAACCCAAUAAUCCAAUAACUAUAAUCCAAUAACAUGUUUUCAAUUCAAUUUAUUGGUCGAUUCAGUUUUUGCACACUCCUAAUCUUACUUAUCUUACUCAAUUUAAUGAUAAAUUGAAUUUUGUAUUCUUCAAGAGAAGGGACAGGUAAUCUGAUUAUAGAAAAUAGUCAAAAAAUUAAUAAUAAAAAAUUUAGAACAUGGAAUCAAAUAAGAACACGACACCCUAAAUUAACGUACCGAUCAAUACUUUUUUUUAUUCAAAAACUAAAAGAAGUCUAGCAUUCAAAUCACUUCAUUUUAAGAGGAUGAGUCUUAAAAUUAGAGUAUUUAUUUUUAAGGUGCUUGUCAGGACUUGUUGAACUCUUUAAGAAAUUGAUUGUAGAAAGAUUUAGCAAGUAAUUUAAACUAGCCUAAGUUUUUCUACCAUUACAUAUCACGACAAUCUGAUUACUUUAAUGACCUCUCAUACUUUCUCUAUUUACUUUAGAGGUGAUCUUAAUUAGCUAAAUUUUGUAUUUUUCAAUAAGUAGUAGUGAUGUGACAAAUUUUAAUUUUUAAAAAUAGUAUAAAUACUAUUUUAGAACUUGGAUCAAAUUAAAACACAAGCCACCCUAAAUUUGAUGCACCUACCCAAUAAUCUUUUUAUUCCAAAAACUAAAGAAUUUUAAGUGUUCAUACCAUUCCAUUUUAAGAGGAUAAGCUUGAAAUCGAGAAUUGACCUAUUCAUAGAGUGAUCCUAUGAUCGAUACAGGAUAUAGACUAUCUCAUUCUUUAUUCUAUUCUAUUUCUGAUUUUUUUUUAGAGUAUUUGUAGUUCUGUUGUCUAAGUAAAAAAUAUGUUUGAUGCUUGUCGGAUAUUGUUGAACUCUAUAAGCAAACAGAGAAAAUUAUCAAAAUGGUUCUUAGUGUAUGGAUAAUGCUUUGUUUUGAUCCUUAAUGUAUUUUAUUUGAUUGAAAUAGUUCUUAGUACAUAACAAAUGUGUUCAUUUUAAUCCUUAAUAUAUUUCACUUUGAUUGAAAUAGUUCUUAAUGUAUGACCAAAAGUGUUCAUUUUGGUCUUUUUCCAAAAACUUAACAAUUUUUUUUAAAAAAAGUGUUAAAUUUCACUAUAGAUCCUACGUGGCUAACAAAAUUUACCAUCGUCGUCUUUUUGUUAGCUUCAAAGAAAGAACUCCAUAAAAUUUAACACAAUUUCUCUAGUUUCUCCAACAAAAUUUACUAUUUUUUCUUUUCUAAAAUAUUAUUCUACUGACGUAAUACCCAUUUCUAAUUUAAUCAAAAGAAAAUAAUAAAUUUUGUUAGAGAAAGUAAAGAAAAUAGUGUUAGAUUUCAUGGAAUUUUUCUUUGGAGCUAACAAAGAAGACAUCAAUGGUGAAUUUUGUUAGCCACGUGGAUCCAUAAUUAAAUUUAAUAUUUAUUUUGAUAAAUCUGUAAAGUUUAGGAUAAGGACCAAAAUUGGCACCUUUUGUUACACAUUAAAGAUCAUUUCAAUCAAGUGAAAUAUAUUAAGAAUCAAAAUGAUCACAUUUAUUAUAUAUUAAUGAUCAUUUCAAUCAAGUGAAAUAUAUUAAAGACCAAAAUAAAGCAUUACCCACAUAUUAAAGACUAUUUUGAUCAUUUUCUAAAAAAAUUAGCAAGUAACUUAAUCUAGCCAAAGUUGUUUUCCCAUGCUUGUUAAGGCGAGUUGAUUCUCUUAAUGGUCACUCAAUUUGUGGUAAUAAUUGGCCACGAAAAUGACUUUAUUAUUUUUUUCCAAAAAAUUAAGUUAUCUUACUCCAUCUAAAACCCAACUACACAACUUAACAAAAAUCAAAACAUUUAAAGAUAUGGAGGCAUGUUUAAAUGUCUAAGAAAUAUGGAGUUUCUAUAAACUCCAAAAGUUAAACAAAAAAACUACCAAACAUUUGCAGAAAACAACUCAUAGAACCUUAAAGCCAAUGUACCAAAACUCGACUAACGACAAGUCAAAGAAUAAGGGGUACAACCCCGAAAACUAAAACAUAACACCCUAAUAGAUAGUCUGAGUCCGAAAGAAUGGACUAAACAAAAGAGAACCCAUGACAACCUGGAAGAACUGGCUCACCCUUGAAUUCAGUCUCGAUCAGUGAUCUCCUAAAUGAGGUCUGUCAGUAGCCGCCUGAAGAUGCCCUGUACUCAACAAAGAAAGAGCAAGUGUAGUAUCAAUACACAACCACAGUGUACUGGUAGGAUCACGGGGCUACUCCCAUAGUAAGCACACAUAUACAAAAUACAGUUCAGUUAUCAUUUCAGAGAAACAUACAACCUUCCAUUAUCAAUGACAAGUAAACAUAAGCAUAAGAAUCACAAUAGUUCUCUCAUGGAACCCAUACCCAAACUGUUAGUGUGUCGAAACGUGACACCCGAUCCAAUGCAUGUGUCAGAACGUGACACCUGAUUCAAUAUGUGUGUCAAAAUGUGACACUCGAUCCAAUAUAUGUGUUAGAAUGUGACACCUUAUCCAGUCAGCAAAACCACAAGCACAAUCACACCCAUAAUGAACAAUGCUCAUAGUCAUACAAUCAAGAAAUGGUUUCAUGGCAUGUAAUUAUACACAUACAUAUACUCAUUUGCAUUAGAUUCAAUUUACAUUCCUUAUUUUCAUACAUGCAUGCAUACAACGAAGCAAUUAACUGGCAUAUACCACACAACCAAGAAAUCAAACCAUCACCUACCUCGAAAUCAAGCUUGAAUCCUCCUAAGACACUUGAGCCUUCCCUUUCUGAAUUCUUUCCGCUUGUUCUAGGUCUACAAACGAUUAAUACAAUGCAAGGAUCAAUAAUUAAGAUCUAAUUUACCCGGAUUAUAACAAACCCAAUAACCCAAGACCAAACCCAUGAUCCUAAAGUGAAGCUAAGGAUUUUCCCACCAUUAGCUUCAGGCCAAAACCCUCCCCCAAUGAUAAUUACCCAAGAAUCUAAGUUUUAUGGAUCAAAAAAUGGAUUAGGGGAGUAAAAUCCUUACCUUUAGCACCAAAAGUUAUGGAAAACUGUCAAAAAAUCACCCUAUCAAGAAAAAUGGAUUGGGGUUUUUCUCGACUUAGGUCGUGACUGGCCCGCUAUGGAGGCCCCCAACUCACCACAGCGACCUCGCCCUGGCGGCUUACACGGAGACAGAAGCUCGAAAUUUGAGUUCCAAGCCCCCAUUUCACCAUACACCUUCAACCCUUAACGCUCAAAAACUACCCUUUCACUCCAAGAUUAGUUUCGGGAGUUCUACUCGCCCGAAUUCAAUUCCAAAAAAUCGUACGAGCUCCUUAACGUCUUAGCUAUCCACUCAUGUGAUCAAAAUUAUAAUUAUAUCCCCCGUUCAUUACCUUAUUUCCCUAGAUCAUACGUGACUCAAAUUUCAUCCAAAUCUGGGUUAGGCUACAAUUUUCCAAGUACUACAAUAAAAAAUAAUUCUGGCCCAAAUUUCUUCCCCAUUGGCUAUUCCAUAAUGACUGAAACAGGUCGUUACAAUAGAUACCAAUUUACCCAUCACUCGUCCCCGAGUGAUAAACUAGGAAAAAGGGGCUAAAGUAAGAUUCGAGUAGUACCUAAAUCGUCAAACAACUGGGAUACUUGUCUCGCAUAUCUUUCUCGAUCUUUCAAGUAGCUUCCUCAACCGAACGAUGCUUUCAUUGAACUUUCACGGACAUAAUCUCCUUAGUCCUCAGCUUCCGGAUAUCACGAUCAAGAAUUGCAAUCGAUUCCUCCUUAUACUGAAGGUCCUUAUCUAACAACACUGAGUCCCAUUUUAUGAUGUAAUCUCUGUCCCCAUGAUACUUCUUCAACAUGGACAAAUGAAACACUAGAUGAACUCCAGAUAAGCUAGGGGGUAAGGCCAAUCUAUAAGCCACUAGACCUACACAAUAAAAAAUCUCAAAUGGUCUAAUGUAUCGAGGACUAAGCUUGCCCGUCUUACCGAAUCUCAUUACCCCCUUUAUGGGUGAAAUCUUUAGAAGAACUUGUUCACCAGCCUGAAAUGUCAUGUCUCUUACCUUAUGGUCCGCAUAUUGUUUCUGUCUACUUUGUGCUGCUAGAAGUUUAGCUUGAAUGCCUCUUACCUUAUCCUGAACAUGUUUCACCAAAUCAACCCCUAAAGGUUUUAUAUCUCUAGCCUCAAACCACCCUAUGGGUGAUCUACAUCCCCUCCCAUAAAGUGCCUCGAACGGUGCCAUGUCAAUGCUGGAGUGGUAACUAUUAUUACAGGAAAACUCACACAACGGUAGGAACUUAUCCCAAUGGCCUCCAAAGUUCACACAUGCCUUCAACAUGUCCUCAAAUACCUAGAUAGUCCUCUCUGACUGCCCAUCCAUUUGUGGAUGGAAAGUUAUACUAAAAGUGAGUUGAGUGCCCAACUCAUCAUGCAAUUUUAUCCAAAACUUGGAUGUGAACUGGGUACCACGGUCUGAGAUGAUAGAAAUGGGAACCCCGUCCAACCUGAUGAGUCCACAAAUUGGACUCAUUUAGGGCUAUAUUUUGAUGAAAUUAGUGUCCUCAAAUGCAUGUUUUAUCCCGAUAUCUGAUGAAAACCUUUAAGUUUCAGGUAUUUGAAGUUUGAGGCAAAGCAUGGAUACUACUUGGCAAAAAGGAGCAAAAAGAAGUCGAAAGAACGAAGAAACGGAGGUCUGCGAAUCGCCGAACACAUUUGGCGAAUCGCCAACAGAUCGCAUAUUCACCUUUUAUUCCAGUGUGCUGAGCCCUGAAGAAAAGGAGAAAAUCAGCGAUAAAAAGGAGUAGUCGGUGUAUCGCCGAACGACUCCGCGAAGUAAUGCUACACUGCCCAAUUACCCAGGAUACAAAGAUGCUGAAGGCAACUGACGAAAGGCGACGAAGUAGACCAAAGGGUGGAUUGCCGAAUGCAUCGACGAUUCUCACUAACGUCGCCGAAAGAGCCCUCAGAGCACAUUUUCUGAAAACUAUAAAUACUAGUUCCGUUUUUAUUUUUAGUAGAGAUUGUUACAUCAUUUUACCUAGUUUUUAGAUUGAAAAGCUGAGAGAGAGUUUUGCAAAUAUUCUCUAAGUUUUGGAGAAGGUUUUGAAACUUGAAGAAGAAGAGAGUUUCAUCUUCAAUUUGGAAGCGGGUCUCUUGGAUUCUUCACUCUUUGCCUAAAUUGAGACUUAAAUCUUCAUACCCAUUUGAUUUCAACAUCAUUGAAGGUAUAAAUUUCUAUUUCUUGAUGUGUGGCUAAAAAAACCCCAUUCUUGGGGUGUGAUUUAGCAAAUAUGUGUUGAGAUUAUUGUUGGGUUUUGCUUGCUGAUAGGUUAGAUGUAUUUUAAUGGUGAUUUCACCUAGCGAUUGUGGUUUAAUUUAAUGGAUUUGUAGUUGCAAAUACAAAACCACCCAAUGUGUUUUCGGCUUGCUCGAAAGAGAGGUCGCGAAACUAAGAUCGCUAGACUGAUGGCCUAAGGAGUGGAUUGACAUGAGGUCCAGCCCGAGAGGGUGAGCCCUAGUCCCAUAUUCAUAGUAGUAUUGACAUUUAAUUAUUCUUCAGAUUUAUUCUAUAUAAAUAAACAUAAAUUAAAGGUCACAAAUCAUAGAGAUAAGAUUACGCAUUGAAAGUAAGGCAAGCCAAAGUUGAAAGUGUAAUCGUCCAAAAAUUAUUUUCCGCAAAGAAAAAAGGGAUUUACGUACAAUUUAGGAUUAUCAAUUCCAAAAUGGAAAAAAUAAAAUAAAAUCAUAAUAUAUGAAAACCAUAAAAAAUUUCUUCAAUUCUUAAAUAGUCUUUUCUCUAAUGAGUAAAUCAUAGUUAACACUUAAUAGCCUAAACAAAUGCUUACUUUCCAAAGUGACAUAAAACAGUUGUGCACAAAUUAAACUCUAUAUUGACAAAUUAAUUUCUUAGCUCUUUUCUCAAAAUGAAUUUGUGAAUCAAUGCACAUUUAUUAAGAAAAAUAUUUAAGGACAUAAUUUAAGUCAUAUUUUUUACUUGCUCUUUCUGAAAUCAUAAAUAUAACUUUGUAAGUAAUGCAAUUUAUCUUCUAGAAAAAUACUCUCCCCAUCUCAAAUUAGCUAAUCAUUUUCCUUUUUAUACGCAUAUUCAGAAAACAUAAAUAAGAAGAUAAUUUUACUAAUUCACCCCUUAAAAAACUCAUUGAAAAUUUUACAAACAAAUGUGAACACUUUUAAAAAGAAUUAGUUGUAAAGAACAACUAUUUUUAGUAAGAUGAUCAACUAAUAUAAGACAUAUGAAAUAUAAAUUGAGUUUAUAUGCAAUAUAGGGAGUAAUAAUAUAUGGUGGCAGAAUUGUCCUAUAAAUAUUUCUGAAGCAUUCUUGAAUUAUUACAUCUAUUCAACUUCAGUCACUUAUUAUCAAAGAUGGAGAUCUCUUGGGUUUUCAUAGUGUUUGGCUCAUGGCUACUGGCAUUAGCUUUUUUAUUAAAAUUAUUCAACCAUCCGAAAAGGAAAGUACCACCAGGUCCAAAGCCAUGGCCAAUUAUUGGCAAUUUGAACCUCCUUGGUUCACUCCCACAUGUGUCUUUUCACCAUCUUUCUCAAAAAUAUGGAGAUUUAAUGCUACUAAAAUUCGGUUCGAAGCCUGUUUUGGUAGCAUCAUCUCCAGAAAUGGCUAAAGAGAUAUUGAAAACACAUGAUGCUAUCUUUGCAUCUCGUCCCGCAUUAGCUGCUGGUAAGUACACUAGUUUUAACUACUCAGACAUGGCAUGGGCACCUUACGGUGCACACUGGCGUCAGGCUAGAAAAAUCUUCAUGACCCACAUAUUUAGUUCCAGGAGGCUUGAUUCAUUUGAGUAUAUUCGUGUUGAGGAAGGGCGAACUUUAAUUUCUCGUCUUUUUCCUCUCUCAGGAAAACCAAUUUUGCUUAGAGACCAUUUACGUCGAUUUACACUUCGCACUAUAAGUAGGUUGGUUAUGAGUGACAAAUAUUAUAGUAGUCAUGCUUCAUCAAUAAUAACACUUGAAACAUUACAACAGAUGCUCGAUGAGUGGUUUAUUCUUGGUGGGGUGAUUAAUAUUGGGGAUUGGGUACCUUGGCUUAGUUGGUUCGACUUGCAAGGAUACGUAAAGCGAAUGAAGGCGUUAGGAAAGAAUAUGACGGAAUUUUACAAAUAUGUAAUUGAAGAUCACAAGGCAAUAAAGAGGCAAAUAGAGAAGGAAUGUGUUCCUAAGGACAUGGUUGAUUCUUUGUUGCACCUUGCUGAUGACCCUAAUCUUGAAGUUAAGCUUACUUCCGAUAGUCUGAUGGGAUUAAUACAUGUAAGUUUACUUAAUUUCUCUACAACUUUUCAUGACAAUAGAUAUAUAGAUAGAUUGAUUAUUUUCUUAAAUUUGCUACCUUUGUCCUUAAAAUAACAGAUCAUAGUUUAAGGGCAUUGUAUGCCUUUUUCCAUUAAAAUAAGUCGGAGUAAUAUAUAAAUAUGCCAUUUAACUUGCUUCAACUGAUAUCUAUGCCUCCUAACUUUGAGUGUGCACAAGUAAACACUUAAACUUGUAUAAAAUUGAACAAAACUAGGCAUAUUCAUCCUACAUGACAAUUUUGUGUCCUAUGUGGCGUCCUACAUGUAUUAUGCCACGUAAGAUGCGCAAUGGCAGAUCCAGGAUUUAGAGUCCGUGGGUGCCAAAUAGACUUAUCGAUUAAAUUAAUUUUAUAUUUGAUUAAAUUAUUCGUCUUUUCGAUAUAUAUCAUAAAUCAAUCAAUAAAAUAUAAAUAAUAAGAUAUUACACUUUUAUUGAGUAUUUAAUCAAAUAAAAGAAAAGUCAAAGGAGUAAUAAUGUAAUUAAAGUCAAUAGCAAUUACAAAAAAAAAUAAAAAAAAUUGUGCGAGCUGUUUUUCCUUAAAAGCAACAAAUUUCUCAAAACAAUAGGUACAAAUAGGAUUCGAACUCGCAACAUCAGCCUUCUAAAGUUUCCCUCCUACCGUGGCACCACAAGCCAAUUUUGUUCUCUGGGUGACACACUUUAUAUUUAUAUAAAUAUUAUAUAUAUAUACCUAUGUAUAUAUAGAGUUUCCGUCGAAGUUCGAGGGUGGCGUGACACCCCACACCUCUUCAUAGAUCCGCCCUUGAAUUGCGUGUUUCUACUAUAUAUAUUAUUAAUUAUAUCAAUGAGAGGACAAACUUAUAUUCUCUCAAGUACUCCCAUCAACACAAAUUUGUAGUUGAUACUUGAUUUUUUUCAAUACCAAUAUAUACCAGGAUUUGAUAGCUGGUGGAACAGAUACUUCAGCAGCAACAAUAGAAUGGGCAUUUCAAGAACUUUUGAGGAGACCAAACAUCAUCGACAAGGCACACCACGAACUUGACAGAGCCAUUGGAAGAGAAGGAUGGGUAGAAGAAGAAGACUUCUCUAAGCUACCUUAUAUAGAUGCCAUAAUCAAAGAGACAUUAAGACUUCACCCUUUAGGUGCAUUGCUUCCUCCUCGUUACUCCAUUGAGGAUUGUAAUGUUGCUGGUUAUGACAUACCAAAAGGGACAACUGUUUUUGUAAACGCAUGGUCUUUAGGAAGAAAUCCAAAGUAUUGGGAUAGGGCAGAAGAUUUCAUUCCUGAAAGAUUCAUAGAAAAUAACAUAGACAUAAAAGGACAAAAUUUCGCAUUGUUGCCAUUUGGUUCAGGAAGGAGAAAGUGCCCGGGGUAUAGCCUAGGUAUGAAGGUUGUUCGAACAACAAUGGCUAACUUGUUGCAUGGAUUCAAUUGGAAAUUAGCAGGAGAUAUGAAGGCAGAAGAUAUAAGCAUGGAGGAGAUUUAUGGAUUGACUACACACCCAAAUAAGCCUAUAUCUGUGAUUAUCGAACCUAGACUUCCCUUCCAUCUUUAUUAGAACUAGCUAUAGUACUUUGUUUUGGUCUUGUCAAUAUAAGUUUUAUGCUAGCAUUAAGUUAAAAUAAAAAA
rnacentral:lncRNA from 1 species